CCUACGGGAGGCUGCAGUGGGGAAUAUUGGACAAUGGGCGAAAGCCUGAUCCAGCCAUGCCGCGUGUGUGAAGAAGGCCUUCGGGUUGUAAAGCACUUUCAGUGGGGAAGAAAGCCUUGGGGCUAAUACCCUCGAGGAAGGACAUCACCCACAGAAGAAGCACCGGCUAACUCCGUGCCAGCAGCCGCGGUAAUACGGAGGGUGCGAGCGUUAAUCGGAAUUACUGGGCUUAAAGCGCGCGUAGGCGGUCUGAUAAGCCGGUUGUGAAAGCCCCGGGCUCAACCUGGGAACGGCAUCCGGAACUGUCAGGCUAGAGUGCAGGAGAGGAAGGUAGAAUUCCCGGUGUAGCGGUGAAAUGCGUAGAGAUCGGGAGGAAUACCAGUGGCGAAGGCGGCCUUCUGGACUGACACUGACGCUGAGGUGCGAAAGCGUGGGUAGCAAACAGGAUUAGAUACCCCGGUAGUC
rnacentral:rRNA from 1 species